UGGGGAAUUUUGGACAAUUGGGCGAAAGCCUGAUCCAGCAAUGCCGCGUGUGUGAAGAAGGCCUUCGGGUUGUAAAGCACUUUUGUCCGGAAAGAAAUCCUUGGCUCUAAUACAGUCGGGGGAUGACGGUACCGGAAGAAUAAGCACCGGCUAACUACGUGCCAGCAGCCGCGGUAAUACGUAGGGUGCAAGCGUUAAUCGGAAUUACUGGGCGUAAAGCGUGCGCAGGCGGUUUGCUAAGACCGAUGUGAAAUCCCCGGGCUCAACCUGGGAACUGCAUUGGUGACUGGCAGGCUAGAGUAUGGCAGAGGGGGGUAGAAUUCCACGUGUAGCAGUGAAAUGCGUAGAGAUGUGGAGGAAUACCGAUGGCGAAGGCAGCCCCCUGGGCCAAUACUGACGCUCAUGCACGAAAGCGUGGGGAGCAAACAGGAUUAGAUACCCCUGGUAGUCCACGCCCUAAACGAUGUCAACUAGUUGUUGGGGAUUCAUUUCCUUAGUAACGUAGCUAACGCGUGAAGUUGACCGCCUGGGGAGUACGGUCGCAAGAUUAAAACUCAAAUGAAUUGACGGGGUCAUAGCUGUUU
rnacentral:rRNA from 1 species